UCAAAUAGAAUACAGACCUACUGCUGGUAAAAAUCCACAAAUAGAAGCUCUAGAAAUAGCCAGCAGAUUUUUUUUUUCAACGACGGAGUUAUCCGCGUACACAUCUUGAUGCUCUGAAGUUGUGAAGACCACGAUGCACUGACCUCUUCAGUCGGGCCUCUCCUGCAUGAAGACCAGGCGCAAACUUCUGUCAUCCUAAGUCAUUGUGUGAAGAAAUGUUAAAGGGAAGAACUUCAAUUUUGGACAUGAAGAAUUCUGAAAAAACAGUGUUCUCUAUGACAACAGUAUUAAAAACAGCAUUUUACAUUUUUUGGGUGAUAAGGUCUUGAGCCCACAAAGGAUCCUGUAUAUUUUUAAGUAGCUGCCUUUUAUGUUGGCUAAAGAUCAUUUUAAAUAAUUACUGCACAGACUGUAUACAGCAUAACUUGUUCAAAGAUAGCAACAGCAGGAAAAAAAUAUUAUAUAUAAAGUCUUAAAUUGUAAAUAUUUUCAUAUGUAGUAAGUUGCCUUUAUAAUUCUGUGUAUGUGUACUGUUUUGAAAGUUUUUAUAAUUUAUAUUGUAUUAGUUAUUUUUUGCUACAGAAUGUGAUGAAGGCAUUUUUGUGUUUGAAACAAAGGUCAUUGGAGUCUUCAUUUUUGUUGUUAGCUGUAGCUAAAUUUGCACUAAAAAAAUCAUUGCUCACCCACUCUUCCUGGAAGUGACUGUUGUGGCUUAGCUAUCCUGCUGUACUGUGAGGCCAGUGUAAUAGUUAAUUAUAUUUUAGAAGAAAUCACAGACAUUUCCCAGAUUUUUUCUGAUUGCAUUUGAAUCUCUUGAAUGUACUGUAUAAACUGUUGAGUCAGUAUAAAUAGAGGUUUUAUCACUGAUUUGAAUAGUGACAAGACAAAAAUAACAUUCCUUCAUUUGUACUUCUCAUCAAAGGCCCAGUGCACAAGCCAAGCAAUUUCCUCAACAGUUUGCAUUCUGUUCAAUUCUCAGGGUCUCCCAUUGCAUCCAAUUGAGCACAGUUGAGUAUAAGAGACAGUUACCAUUUCCAGUGUAUGUCUGGUCAUUUCUUUACUGGCUUCCCUUACUCCAGGCAAAAGGAUCAGGAAAUUAAUCAGUAAGUCAUUACCCCCCCAGUCAAAAAUAACCUACAAUAAAAGAAGGAAACAUU